rnacentral:rRNA from 1 species
AGAGUUUGAUCCUGGCUCAGGACGAACGCUGGCGGCGUGCCUAACACAUGCAAGUCGAACGAGAAUCUUUGAACAGAUCUUUUCGGAGUGACGUUCAAAGAGGAAAGUGGCGGACGGGCGAGUAACGCGUGAGUAACCUGCCCAUAAGAGGGGGAUAAUCCAUGGAAACGUGGACUAAUACCGCAUAUUGUAGUUAAGUUGCAUGACUUGAUUAUGAAAGAUUUAUCGCUUAUGGAUGGACUCGCGUCAGAUUAGAUAGUUGGUGAGGUAACGGCUCACCAAGUCAACGAUCUGUAGCCGAACUGAGAGGUUGAUCGGCCGCAUUGGGACUGAGACACGGCCCAGACUCCUACGGGAGGCAGCAGUGGGGAAUAUUGCGCAAUGGGGGCAACCCUGACGCAGCAACGCCGCGUGCAGGAAGAAGGUCUUCGGAUUGUAAACUGUUGUCGCAAGGGAAGAAGACAGUGACGGUACCUUGUGAGAAAGUCACGGCUAACUACGUGCCAGCAGCCGCGGUAAUACGUAGGUGACAAGCGUUGUCCGGAUUUACUGGGUGUAAAGGGCGCGUAGGCGGACUGUCAAGUCAGUCGUGAAAUACCGGGGCUUAACCCCGGGGCUGCGAUUGAAACUGACAGCCUUGAGUAUCGGAGAGGAAAGCGGAAUUCCUAGUGUAGCGGUGAAAUGCGUAGAUAUUAGGAGGAACACCAGUGGCGAAGGCGGCUUUCUGGACGACAACUGACGCUGAGGCGCGAAAGUGUGGGGAGCAAACAGGAUUAGAUACCCUGGUAGUCCACACCGUAAACGAUGAUUACUAGGUGUUGGAGGAUUGACCCCUUCAGUGCCGCAGUUAACACAAUAAGUAAUCCACCUGGGGAGUACGACCGCAAGGUUGAAACUCAAAGGAAU